GAUGAACGCUGGCGGCGUGCCUAAUACAUGCAAGUCGAGCGAACAGACGAGGAGCUUGCUCCUCUGACGUUAGCGGCGGACGGGUGAGUAACACGUGGAUAACCUACCUAUAAGACUGGGAUAACUUCGGGAAACCGGAGCUAAUACCGGAUAAUAUAUUGAACCGCAUGGUUCAAUAGUGAAAGACGGUUUUGCUGUCACUUAUAGAUGGAUCCGCGCCGCAUUAGCUAGUUGGUAAGGUAACGGCUUACCAAGGCAACGAUGCGUAGCCGACCUGAGAGGGUGGUCGGCCGCACGGGAACUGAGGCACGGUCCAGACUCCUACGGGAGGCAGCAGUAGGGAAUCUUACGCGAGGGGCGAAAGCCUGACGGAGCAACGCCGCGUGAGUGAUGAAGGUCUUCGGAUCGUAAAACUCUGUUAUUAGGGAAGAACAAAUGUGUAAGUAACUAUGCAGGUCUUGACGGUACCGGAACAGAAAGCCACGGCUAACUACGUG
rnacentral:rRNA from 1 species